CCCUGAGCCGCGGCAGCUGACCCAGAAUCCAGAAGAGCCCCAAGGCCCGCGGGAUCCCUUCGCCUGCCUGCCUGCCUCCCGACCCCCAGACCUCCGGACUCGGACUCGCCCCCACAGGCCAUGCAGGUGGACUGAUUGCUACUGAACGCGACAGAGAAACGCUGAAGGUGCUGUCAAGAUGAAAUGAUGGAUUGUGACAAGUCACAGACUCAAUGGCACUGAAGACCUGCCUCCCUGCUACGUCUCAAACAAAAAAUAACCAAGAUGGUUCAUUUGAAGGCUAGAAGAAGGCUCCGCUUCACCGUGGGCCCUGAGUCCCUCAAGUGGGGCCGGGUGUGGACACCCCCCCUGCAGAAGGGGGUGUUCUGCAGCUUGCUGAGUCAUGCUUUCCUGAACCGGUGUCUGUUUCACGUUCUCUAGAUGAUGUGAACAGUGAAGCAACAAGCCCACAUGGAAGAAGCACACCAGCCGGUGCGACUGUGAGGUGUCGAGACUGGGCAACGGGCAUCAGAAGAUUCACAACAAACAGUAAACAAACAAACAAAAAUGCAUUGGUGAGAAUG